ensembl:lncRNA
CGCCCGCCCCGGACUUCACACCCGGAUCCCGCCCGAGCUCCCCACCCCGCCCUGGCCGUCCCCACCAGGCCAAGGCCACCAGCUCCGGACCCCCCAGCUCCAAGGUAAAGCCCUCUGGGGCGGCGGCGGCGGCGGGAGGUCCCUGAGCCCCGGGCAGCCGGGAGAUCUUCUGCCCAUCACCUCCUGGCCCGGGCCCCCUGUCCUCUGUGCGCACGUGUCUGGCCCUUCCCCUCUCUGCAGGUCUCCUCUGAAGCCUCUCUGCCCCCCUCUCUCUCCCAGCUGUCUCUGCGGGUCUCAGAGAUCUCUCUGCUCCCCCAUUCUCCGCUCCGCUCCCUCCCCGGCCCUCCUCCGGCUUCUCUCCCAGAUGAAGUCUCUCUCACCCCGCUUGGCUCUCUCCAGCCUUCCUCCUCUCCCCCCCAGCGCCAGCCAGCUCAUUCUUUCCUGCAAAGCAGGAGCCGUUACUCAUGUCACCUCCCUCCCUCCCUCCCUCCCUCCCAUUGGACUCCUCAGCUGGGGGGGGGGGGCAGACCCAGAGAGGGAAGGGAGAGGAAGCGGGUCCAGAGCGGCCCUCUGGGAGGACCCUGCGCCCAGGCUGGCAAUGGAGUGAAGGAAGAAGGGUCCGAAGAGGAGGGACAUUUGUGUUCUAGGCAAGUCCUUGCAUCAGGAGCUGCUGAACACACCCUAGGCUGGUUGCUUCCUGUUUUCUGGAGGGGAGCCGGGGGUGGGGUGACCGAGAUGGGGAUGACUCUCUGGGCUCAUCUCCCCACUUCCUCCGGGGUCUGAAGAAGGACUUCUGGGAGUCAAAAGCCACACCCACAGCUAGCCCCAGAGCCCCCCUCCGCACAGAUCUCAAUCCCAUCACCCCCUCCUACAGAUGUCGCCCCCAGGCCACUUCUGCUUCCUUUUCCUCCUCCUGGGCUGGGCCGUGCCUUCGAGGACCCAAGACUUAUCAGUGGAGACCCAUUUAGGUACAUCGAUGGCCCCACCAUUAAUGGAGAAGGACCAUUCAACCCCUGCUUCAAGCUCAGGCACAGCUCUAAGCCCAACCACCUCAGAGCACCAGCUGACUUCAGGGGAUCCUACCAAGUACAGCGCCGACACAGGCCAAACCCAGCCAGAGAAGAAGAUGGAAACUACUUCCGAGAUGCGUAACUUGGACCCUCCAACUGUGGGCAGCAGAACAAGAACUCCCAAGCCUUCAGCCUCUUCUGGGCACCAGGAGGCGGAGAAUCCCUUCCAAAGUGGUGAGUCUUCCAGAUUUGGGACCCUGGGCAGAGGAGUGGGAAGGCCAAACACAGGGCUCCUUCCCCUUCUGUAUCCUCCACCUGCACGUUUUGCUUUCACCCCUGACCACCCUCUCCUCUUCCUCUCUCAGAUGAAUAUACCCUCCGGAAGAGAGGUUUACUGGCAGCUGCUGUUCUCUUCAUCACAGGCAUCGUGAUUCUCACCAGUAUGGACUAGGGGAACCUGGGAGACUCUUGGGUCCCAGGACUGGGCUGGGGAGGGAUUCGCAGACCAUUUCAGCCCUUGGUUUACUGUGAGAUCUUGGGGUCGAGCCCUAUCCCACCUCUGCAGUGAGCUUUCCCCAUUUGUGACCCCCAGAUAUCGACUACCCCAUGAGUCUGAUUUCUUUUCCUGGUCUUACCCACUUCUUCCUCUCAGGUGAUCGGUGCCGCCAGUUUCGUUGGUGCAGAAGGCAACAAAGAAGGUGAGAUUAGGGCAACCAAGGUGGGAGGAGGACGGCUGGGAAGACCAAGGGAUGUGGGAGAUGAGAAGGAUGAGGUCUUUCCUCUCACGGCCUCCUCCCUUCAAAGUGCCUACAGGGUGGCCCAAGCCUGAGGCCCCAGCUCUAAUGAAGAGAUACCAGUGGAGCCAUGAUGGUGGAAGGACCCCAAGGCUCUGGCCGACUCUGAAGCUCAUGGAGCUCUGGGAAGAAAGUCCCACUGCUCACCCCUUUUACCUGGUUUCUCACUGCCAUGACGAUGCCUUUUUCAAGAUGGCACCAGCUCCUGUUUCUAGGUCUCCCUGGUCUCUGUUGCCACUCCCCCCCAGAUCCCAAGUUUCUCAGCCAAAUUCUCAAUAAACAUUUGCGGGACAAAUGAAUGGACGAGUGU